CUUUAGAUUUUGCUAAACUACAACUCCCACGAUUCUUUGAAUGAAUAUGAUAGGCAGGGAAUCAUGGGAGUUGUAGUUUAGCAAAAUCUAGAG